rnacentral:miRNA from 1 species
CCCUUUAUAAUGUUGAGAUAUGUUCCUGUUUUUAAAAACCAGGGAUAACAGGAACAUAUCUCAACAUUAUAAAGGCU